AUUGAACGCUGGCGGCAUGCUUUACACAUGCAAGUCGAACGGCAGCGCGGGCUUCGCUCUCGCCGCGUGUCGCGCACGUGAGUGUUAUGCCUCGAAACGUGCCCAGUUGUGGGGGAUAGCCCCGCGAAAUCCGCUUUUAUCCCACAUACUCUCCGAGGGUGAGAGCGGGGGCCCGAGAGCCCUUGCUCUUUUGGCGGCCCCGAUGUCGGAUUAGCUAGUUGGUGGUGUAAAGGCUCACCAAGGCGACGAUCCGUAGCUGGUCUGAGAGGACGACCAGCCACACUGGAACUGAGACACGGUCCAGACUCCUACGGGAGGCAGCAGUGGGGAAUUUUGGACAAUGGGGGCAAGCCUGAUCCAGCCAUGCCGCGUGAGGGAAGAAGGCCUUCGGGUUGUAAAGCGCUUUUGUUAGGGAAGAAAACGUAGAGGCUAAUAUCCCGGGGGAAUGACGGUACCGGAAGAAUAAGCACCGGCUAACUACGUG
rnacentral:rRNA from 1 species